AGAAUCAACGCUGGCGGCGUGCCUCAGACAUGCAAGUCGAACGAUUAAACUUCCCUUCGGGAAGACAUAAAGUGGCGCACGGGUGAGUAACACGUAAGUAAUCUGCCUUUGAGUGGGGAAUAACCCGGGGAAACCCGAGCUAAUACCGCAUAAUGCAGCGGCACCGCAAGGUGACAGUUGUUAAAGGAGCAAUCCGCUUAAAGAGGAGCUUGCGGCAGAUUAGCUAGUUGGUAAGUACGCUUACCAAGGCUACGAUCUGUA
rnacentral:rRNA from 1 species